UAAUACGAAGGAUCCAAGCGUUGUCCGGAUUUACUGGGUUUAAAGGGUGCGUAGGCGGGGAAUUAAGUCAGUGGUGAAAGCUGGUAGCUUAACUAUCAAAUUGCCAUUGAAACUGAUUUUCUCGAGUACGGUUGAGGUAGCUGGAAUGUAACAUGUAGCGGUGAAAUGCUUAGAUAUGUUACAGAACACCAAUUGCGAAGGCAGGCUACUAAACCGUAACUGACGCUGAGGCACGAAAGCGUGGGGAUCAAACAGGAUUAGAUACCCUGGUAGUCCACGCUGUAAACGUUGCAUACUCGGUCUUAGCGAUAUACAGUUAGGACCUAAGCGAAAGCAUUAAGUAUGCCACCUGGGGAGUACGGUCGCAAGAUUGAAACUCAAAUGAAUUGACGG
rnacentral:rRNA from 1 species